rnacentral:lncRNA from 1 species
UGGUAAAUCUAAUUUAUAAUCACAAUGUCUACUGUGACUAAUUCUCAUUCACUAGAAUCUUAGGUUCCGGACUAACUUUAUGGAAAUAAGCAAGAGUAGGGAUUUCAGACCACUCAACGGAAUCCAACAAAAAUAUGGUCGCCUAUCGAAAUGUACCAAGUACAACUAAUCCUUAUAACCCUAGGUAGGCAGUGAUCACAUCACGAAUAUACCAAGCAUGAUCACCCUUAGAAUAUGUAUGGUCCUCCACUGCAGAUAUCCUGAGCAGAACUGUAGGCAUAGUCUAAUAACAUAGGCAGUGAUCACCCAUCACGGAUAUAUCAAGCAAGACUUAGCCUAUAGCUCUAGGUAGUGAUCACCCUUCACGGAUAUACCAAGCAUAAUCACUUAUAGAAUGCAUAUGUUCCCCCAUUGCGAAUAAACCAAGCAGAACCAUAAGCAUAGUCUAAUCAUGCAGGCAGUGAUCACCCAUCGUGGAUAUACCAAGCAUGAUCACCCUUGAAAUACAUAUGGUCCCUUAUCGCUAAUAUACCAAGCAUGACCAUCCAUGUACAAUUACUACAUGGUGCAAUCACAUAAUCACCCAACCUACCUUCUAUAUCGAUACUUAUGAUUUACCAUAUGAGCACAUAAACUAACAAUUCCACAUGACAACUAAAUAUCAUGGCAUACACACAAAUUCUUCAUAACACUUUUAAUAAGGUCUAGGCUCGCAUUUCUAUGUUAGCAAUUGUACAUUUCACUCGUAUCACCUAUAAGUUCAAUGAACAUGUAUAUCACAAUAAGAUACCACUUGCACAUAAACCGAGGUGCACAUCACCUGAAUUAACUCACUAACUGAGAUAGGCCCGCAAGGCUCCAUUGAGUCUCUACUGAUACUAAUUUAGAACUUAAGAAUGGUUACAAAUAUUUUGAUCAAAGUCAACCCUUGUAAUUCAAUCAGGAAGAUCCGCCCGCCGAAUUUCAUCGAACGAAUGUCAAAUAUGAAUCGAAUUUCACCUAGAAAGACAAAGUUGGCCAACUGGCCACGCGUUACUACAUGCAGCGAUUUGGCGAACGAAAACUCAGUAUUUCAACCAACUCUAAAAAUUACCAAAUUUCACCGGCAUGUAGAUUUUAGUAUAAGGAACAA